AUAGCUUCUUGGUCUUUUGGCUAAGAUCAAGUAUAAUAUCUGUUCUUAUUAGUUUAAUAAAAACUUAGUUCAAGUAGACCAGGGGAAAAAAACAGCUCUGGCACUAAUAUGUAUGAUCCCACAAACAUAAUAUUAGUCAAAAAAUUAGAAGUCAC
rnacentral:snRNA from 2 species